AAUUCACAAUUAUGUCCAAAGUCUGGCCCAGGGGCCAGUCCUGGCACUUUGAUGUGUUUUUUGUGACCUGCAACUUGAUUAAUACAAUUAAUUUUUAAUGGCCAGCCAACAGGGUGAAGAUUCAAUUUAUUUUUUAACUGUUUAGUCUCUUUGACAUAGCUUCAAGGGCCAAUCUUUGAGCUAACCUUUAGCAAAAGUUCAAAGUGAAAGGGCUGUUUGUUAUUAAUAUCUAUUUGGAGGAUUUUUUGUUUUUAGCUAUGCUCCAGCGAUUUUAUAUAUUUUGGCUAGUUUGUUGUAUUUUUAAGGGAAUGCUCUUGUCUAUUUGGGGGGUUUUAAUAUUAGCUGUAAGGGCGUUUCAGCCGAUCAUAAUAUCAGGCUAAAGUAACAUAAUCUCAGCAUCUCGAUCUUUACAUCUUCCUGGAAUGCUAUUGUGUUUUUUUACUCAUUAACAUGUUAUGUGCUGAAUCCCUCUCCUCCAGCAGCAGCAGCAGCAGCAGCAGGAGAGUAAUCGAGAGCUGUCAGGGGCCAACCUGUUAACGGUGAUAGGGAGGCAGAGACGGGGCCACUGUUGCUGUCAGUGAUCUUGAGGGAAUUUACGCCUCUCAUCUCAUCUCCUGAGGGCAACAAGCUGUGCUACUGGUUACACCGAGAACCACCGGUUGAGUUAUGUCAUCAUGUAUCGCUGGCAAAGUUCACCAUACGUGUGAAGAAGACAAAAGGACAACCCACACUGGAAGCCUCUGUCAUCUUUCUCCAGGUUGUCUCUUAUCAGAUCUGACCUCUGACCUCUGACCUCUGGAGUCUUGGUCUGAAGCAAGUUAGUCUGUUCCUCGAUAGGAUUCUUGUAAGUAUUUUUCCCUUGAUAUUUAUGACUUCAAUUCCAGUCUUGGUAGUGAUUCAGAUAUUCUGUAUUAGAAAUAUAUGUCAGAAAUGUAUUGUGUGUGUUUGUAAGUAUGAAAGCACUGGGUAAAUACGAAGAAAAACUACCUUUCUUUAUAGUAAUCCAAGUUUUCCAAGUUUGACUCCGGUACUUUUUCUUAAAAUGCGACUCUUUACCGCUCUCUGCUGGCUGAAGUAUUUAUUACAAUUAAUUAUAUCCCCAACAUAAAAAGAAGUAUAAAAACGUCAAGCACAAAUUUAAACAUUUAAUAAACAUUUCAUUUGAGAGGACAUAUUGCAGCUGACAUUAUUGUGAUGGCUUUCUUUUAUAUUAUCAAAAUCAUUGAAAACAUUGUAUCAUAAAUAUAUGUCAAUCUUAUAUAUAUAUAAUUUUUUGUACAUAUUCAUUCCAUAAAGGUCCCUUAGCGGUAAAAAUGAUGUGUACAACCAACCUCAAACGUCUGGAUGGUAAAUCUAAAAAGGUUCAGUACAGUAUAUCCCCCAAACAAAUGAUUUUAAAUAUAAACUCUUUAUUUAAAAAAGGGCCCUGUCCAUAUAGUUUAAGAUUGCUUUGAUCUUUGCCGUUUUAUUGCUCGAAGAGAAAGUCCAAGACUUUGACAUAUUCAAUUAAAUAAAGGCUAUAAAAAGGCAACGUUAGUCAACUUGUCUCUGAAUAUUUUAAAAUAUAAAAAAUAUAACAAAUUUGGAGUGUGAGUGCCUGGUAUAAAGCUGAAGUAAGUGUAAAACAGCGAGGGUGAAGCUGGUGGGGAAGUGA